UACGUAGGGUGCGAGCGUUAAUCGGAAUGACUGGGCGUAAAGGGUGCGCAGGCGGUUUUGUAAGACUGUCGUGAAAUCCCCGGGCUUAACCUGGGAAUGGCGAUGGUGACUGCAAGGCUAGAGUGUGGCAGAGGGGGGUAGAAUUCCACGUGUAGCAGUGAAAUGCGUAGAGAUGUGGAGGAACACCGAUGGCGAAGGCAGCCCCCUGGGUCAAGACUGACGCUCAUGCACGAAAGCGUGGGGAGCAAACAGG
rnacentral:rRNA from 1 species